AACGAACACUGGCGGCAUGCCUAACACAUGCAAGUCGAACGAAGCCUUCGGGCUUAGGGGCGCACGGGUGCGUAACGCGUGGGAAUCUGCCCUUUGGUUCGGAAUAACAGUUGGAAACGACUGCUAAUACCGGAUGAUGACGAAAGUCCAAAGAUUUAUCGCCAGAGGAUGAGCCCGCGUAGGAUUAGCUAGAUGGUGUGGUAAAGGCGCACCAAGGCGACGAUCCUUAGCUGGUCUGAGAGGAUGAUCAGCCACACUGGGACUGAGACACGGCCCAGACUCCUACGGGAGGCAGCAGUGGGGAAUAUUGGACAAUGGGCGAAAGCCUGAUCCAGCAAUGCCGCGUGAGUGAUGAAGGCCCUAGGGUUGUAAAGCUCUUUUACCCGGGAUGAUAAUGACAGUACCGGGAGAAUAAGCCCCGGCUAACUCCGUGCCAGCCGCCGCGGUAA
rnacentral:rRNA from 1 species